AUAUUCAUUUCUGCAACACACCUGCCAGAAUUGGAACAGCAAGAGAAGACAAGCAUGGCUCCUGCAGGAGAUGACAUACCACACUGUGAAGCAGUCCAUGUUUUU
rnacentral:snRNA from 13 species